GAGACCUGCAUUAUUUUUUAUUUAAAAAAUAAAUCAUGCAGUCAUGUGGAAAAGAAUUUAAAACAUUCAAAAUAAAUCUCUUUUUCUGUCUUCUUCCUCAGACACCAAAUUCUCCUUAUUGAAGCAAACCCUGUAACCAGUCUGGAUCUCCUUCAGAAGAUGGUCUAUACAUUUAUAUUACAGGUAUUUACACCCUGCAGCUAACUUAUUAUUUAAUAUUUAUUUAUUUUUGAUUGAUUGAUGAUUGGUUUACAAUAUGGGUUUGAUUUGGCAUGUAUCAGCAUGAAUUAAUCAUAGCUGUACAUAUGUCUCCUCCCUCUUGAAUCUCCCUCCUUCAAUUCACUUUUUUUUUUUACUCAAUAAUGUAUCUUGAAGUAAUUAUGUAACAUUACUUAUAGAGCUACUUCAUAUUUUAUGAAGUUGAAGAUAUAGUAUUCCACUGUAUGACAAAACUAUAGCUAUUAAAUAGCUAUAACUAUUUAAUUCAGUUCAGUUCAGUCAUUCAGUCAUGUCUGACUCUUUGCGACCCCA
rnacentral:lncRNA from 1 species